UCCAUAUGUUGUAGUGUUGUGAAAAUGUG
rnacentral:piRNA from 1 species